ACGGCUCAGUAACACGUGGAUAACCUACCCAAGAGUCCGGGAUAACCCCGGGAAACUGGGGAUAAUACCGGAUAGGUCAAACUGGCUGGAAGGCGGUUUGGCUGAAACUUCCGGGGCUUUUGGAUGGGUCUGCGGCUGAUUAGGUUGUUGCCGGUGUAACGUACCGUCAAGCCUGUAAUCAGUACGGGUUGUGGGAGCAAGAGCCCGGAGAUGGAUUCUGAGACACGAAUCCAGGCCCUACGGGGCGCAGCAGGCGCGAAAACUCUACAAUGCAGGCAACUGCGAUAGGGGAACAUCGAGUGAUCCGCAUAUUGUGGGUCUGUCCACCCGCCUAAAAAGCGGGUGUUAGCAAGGGCCGGGCAAGACCGGUGCCAGCCGCCGCGGUAAUACCGGCGGCUCGAGUGGUGGCCGAUAUUAUUGAGUCUAAAGGGUCCGUAGCCGGCUUUGCAAGUCUCUCGGGAAAUCCAGCGGCUUAACCGUUGGUCGUCCGGGGGGUACUACAUUGCUUGGGACUGGGAGAGGUAGGAGGUACUCAGGGGGUAGGAGUGAAAUCCUGUAAUCCUUUGGGGACCACCGGUGGCGAAGGCGUCCUACCAGAACAGGUCCGACGGUGAGGGACGAAAGCUAGGGGCACGAACCGGAUUAGAUACCCGGGUAGUCCUAGCCGUAAACGAUACUCGCUAGGUGUCGGCCACGGUGCGACCGUGGUCGGUGCCGUAGGGAAGCCGUGAAGCGAGCCACCUGGGAAGUACGGCCGCAAGGCUGAAACUUAAAGGAAUUGGCGGGGGAGCAC
rnacentral:rRNA from 1 species